rnacentral:rRNA from 1 species
UCGCGAAUCAUUCACAAUGGACGCAAGUCUGAUGAUGCCACGCCGCGUGCGGGAUGAAGGCCCUUUGGGUUGUAAACCGCUGUCAAGGGAGGGGAAACACCUAGUGUUAACAGCGCUAGGCUUGACUGCUCCCUAAAGGAAGCCCCGGCAAAACAUGUGCCAGCAGCCGCGGUAAUACAUGUGGGGCAAGCGUUGUUCGGAAUUACUGGGCAUAAAGGGUGCGUAGGCGGUUUGUUAAGUCACUGGUGAAAGUUUGCGGCCCAACCGUAAAAUUGCCUGUGAUACUGGCGAACUUGAGUGCGUGAGGGGUAGGGGGAACGAGCAGUGUAGCGGUGAAAUGCGUAGAUAUUGCUCGGAAGGCCGGAGCCGAAGGGGCCCUACUGGUACGUAACUGACGCUGAGGCACGAAAGCGUGGGGAGCAAACAGGAUUAGAUACCCUGGUAGUCCCUGAGCGGGCUGGCAAGGCGCAU